CGUAGGAUUUCCUAAGCUGUUGUUUUUGAAUGGGCUUCAAUGUGGUUUUAAUGGGCUUCGUCACGUGUACAAUUAGAAAGAAAAAAACCCCCGAAACGGAUAAACACGAUGCUCUCUCAAUGAGGCACUUUUGCCUCUCCUAAAGCUGUUGUGGGACCCACACUAUUUUUUUCUUAAAACGAGUGGGCUAUGGGCUAUCCAUCAUAUUAAUGAUUUCUGGUUUAUGUCUUCAUGGGCUGACUUUUUUUCUGGUUUAUGUAGGUCAGCCGUCGUCUUCUUCGCGAUCCUUCGUUUGAGGACGCUUCCUCUUCCGGCAUAUCAUUUUUGUUACUAUCUUUAUGACUCUACGCACGAUCUUUAUUAACCUCUUCCAAAUCCUCUACAAUCUCUUAUUUUGGCUUCUCACCUUCAUUUGUAUCUCCGAAGAAAUCCAUAGCUUUCGGUUUUGAUAUAGUGAGGAUCAGGGACAAGUCGGAAAUGAAGGUGGAUA